ensembl:lncRNA
UGUUAGCUCAUCAACCAGGGGACUGGAGCAGCUGUCACUGAGAAAAGGCUAACACGUCCACUGUACUGGGAUCGGGGAAGAAGUGCCAGCACGGCAAGACAGCUGAGAAAACAACACAAAGAUGCACCAACCCUCACAGAUUCUUCAAAGUCGGACACCAGCGGUUAUCACAGCGCUUGACUGGAGGUCACUACGGAUACAACAAGGAGCAACACAGCCUGAACCACAGACCGAGAGGGGGCUAAGGAGGACAUCCAUCUCUGUCAUCAUUAUCAUGAUUAAUCAGUUCCUGAUUCUUCAUUACUACCUUUCAUUACUGUCUUUGGACCCACAUCCGACCAGAAUUAUGGAAAUACUCUUCUCAUAGGGUCUAAUCAUCAAGCUGCAGUACUGAUGUCCCAAGGGCAGAGAGACUCACCA